rnacentral:lncRNA from 1 species
AAUUUUUUCGGGUGCCGCAGCGGCGACCCCUCGGCGCCGAUGUCCCUGAUCCCUGGAGCGACGACGGCCGCUGCCUAAGCUGGAAACGCCGAGCCUCGCCGCUGCCCUCCUGCGCCGCCGCUUCCUCCUCUCCCUGCCAGGAGUUGAAGCGGAGCUGCGGCACCUCCCUGGCGGAUCUGGUAUCCCCGCCCGCUGCCGAGGCUGCCGGCCCUCUCCCCUGGACCGCUACCCGGAGAGCGAGCGGCGGGGCCGGGAUUUGGCUGCGUGUUGGCUGAGUGCGACACACCGCGAGCGCGGGCAGUGGAGGUGCCGCGGCGGCCGUGGCCGCUCGGGGCGCAGCGGUAGUCAGGUGUGUGUGUACAGCGGGGGACGCGCGCUGCCGGCUCCUGGGCUGGCGACAGAUUGUGCAGGAAUGCGAGGAAUGCACCAGGGGCAGAGUCCACACAGCCCGCCGCGGCUGCCCUAGCGCCUUCCCUCCCCAGCUCUCGCCGCGCAGCCAGAGGUCACCGGAGCAUCUUCGGAGCUGGUGAGCCUCAUUCCACUCCUCUCC